UACGAAGGGGGCUAGCGUUGCUCGGAAUCACUGGGCGUAAAGCGCACGUAGGCGGGUUGCUAAGUCGGGGGUGAAAUCCUGGAGCUCAACUCCAGAACUGCCUUCGAUACUGGCGACCUAGAGUCCGGGAGAGGUGAGUGGAACUCCGAGUGUAGAGGUGAAAUUCGUAGAUAUUCGGAAGAACACCAGUGGCGAAGGCGGCUCACUGGCCCGGUACUGACGCUGAGGUGCGAAAGCGUGGGAGCAACAGGG
rnacentral:rRNA from 1 species